rnacentral:lncRNA from 1 species
AGUUGAUCUACUUAAAGAGGGGUUAUUUGGGUUCCUCCCAUCCACAAUAAUUAUGAUAUAUGUAAGCUUGUGGGCAGCAACCACAGAGAACACUGGGAUUUGGAAACUGGGGAGAGUGCAAGCCUAUCUGAAUGAGGAAUGGAUGUCUGUGAUUCAGAAUAGCUGGAAAAUGUAUUCUCUGAGAGUGUACCUGCAUCAGUAUAUAAAUUCAUAUCUAAAGACAACUAAUGGAUCUUCAGCAGUGUUUCUUCUUACUGCCUGAAACCUCAGGCAUUCAUUUAACAAGCACUGGACAAUGAGGAGAACUGCUUCAGUACUGGAGACAGGAAUUUGGAGUGCUCCCUUGUACAGUAUGCUUUGACCAUUGCACUUCUUCACCUCCUGUAUCUUGUUUUAUGUCCUUCAGAGAAGAAGUUUUUGAAGAGAAGUGGUUUGCUGCUCCUUAGAAAUGAGAGCAGUAGGCUUGAGUGCCCCUCCAGGCUCCCGUGAAGGCAAGAAAGCCUGAUUUCUUGUUUAAUCUCCUCUAACUUGACAUUAAGCCAGGGACACCAUUCAUUCAGCAACACCAUCCAUUUUAUAAGCUUUGUUUCAAGAAAUACAUGUUUCUGAGGGCCCUGAGCCUGGAGGUAAUUCCUAGGGGUAACCAGAGCACGUCCACAGCACUGACCCCUCUCCAGGCUUACUUGAUGCUCCAUGAAGGAGGGCAGGAUCAGCCCAUGCAAUUGUUUAGGCAAGGCAUUUUCUUGGCUGCAAAGCAUUGCUCUGUCUGAAUUGUCAGUCCAGAAUGGAACGAGAGGGAGCUUAGGCUAAGAGUCCUCCAGAUUCUGAGAUCACAUUUCCCUUUUGUAUUUUCUGUAAGACUUUGGGCACCAGGAGCAUUGUUUUCUCUACUUUCAGGUAUGUACCACCCUGCCAAGGACAUAUUAUCACCUGCCCAGGUGAGGAGAGAGUGAGCAAAGCUUUUUAGACUGUAGUUUUUGAUUUAGUGCUCCUAGCAUCCUCCUAAAUUCGGUUUUAUAUUCCCAUGUCCUUAUUUGACUCUAGCCCUAAAUCAAAAGA